rnacentral:rRNA from 1 species
AUUGAACGCUGGCGGCAGGCCUAACACAUGCAAGUCGAGCGGAUGAAGGGAGCUUGCUCCUGGAUUCAGCGGCGGACGGGUGAGUAAUGCCUAGGAAUCUGCCUGGUAGUGGGGGAUAACGUCCGGAAACGGGCGCUAAUACCGCAUACGUCCUGUGGGAGAAAGUGGGGGAUCUUCGGACCUCACGCUAUCAGAUGAGCCUAGGUCGGAUUAGCUAGUUGGUGUGGUAAAGGCCUACCAAGGCGACGAUCCGUAACUGGUCUGAGAGGAUGAUCAGUCACACUGGAACUGAGACACGGUCCAGACUCCUACGGGAGGCAGCAGUGGGGAAUAUUGGACAAAGGGCGAAAGCCUGAUCCAGCCAUGCCGCGUGUGUGAAGAAGGUCUUCGGAUUGUAAAGCACUUUAAGUUGGGAGGAAGGGCAGUAAGUUAAUACCUUGCUGUUUUGACGUUACCAACAGAAUAAGCACCGGCUAACUUCGUG